rnacentral:rRNA from 1 species
GAUGAACGCUGGCGGCGUGCCUAAUACAUGCAAGUCGAGCGAAUGGAUUAAGAGCUUGCUCUCAUGAAGUUGCGGCGGACGGGUGAGUAACACGUGGGUAACCUGCCCAUAAGACUGGGAUAACUCCGGGAAACCGGGGCUAAUACCGGAUAACAUUUUGAACCGCAUGGUUCGAAAUUGAAAGGCGGCUUCGGCUGUCACUUAUGGAUGGACCCGCGUCGCAUUAGCUAGUUGGUGAGGUAACGGCUCACCAAGGCAACGAUGCGUAGCCGACCUGAGAGGGUGAUCGGCCACACUGGGGCUGAGACACGGCCCAGACUCCUACGGGAGGCAGCAGUAGGGAAUCUUCCGCAAUGGACGAAAGUCUGACGGAGCAACGCCGCGUGAGUGAUGAAGGCUUUCGGGUCGUAAAACUCUGUUGUUAGGGAAGAACAGGUGCUAGUUGAAUAAGCUGACACCUUGACGGUACCUAACCAGUAAGCCACGGCUAACUACGUGCCAGCCGCCGCGGUAA